GCCUGCGCGUCCGGCUCGCCGAGUUGCCGCCCGCCAUUUUUGGAGCUUCUUGGAGAUCUAGGCAGGAACCCGCCCCGGGUUCCUUCACCGAGGCUCCUCCCUAGGUCUCAGGGCCGGCGCUUUCCUCUGUUCCCGCCCGGCUCCUGCUGCCCCCAUCCGCAGCUCUCGAGACGCCCUGCGGAAACCCGAGGGUGAGGCCGCGCAGAUCCCUGCUCCUACUUGGAUUUAGCAAGGGCCUCAGAGCUUAGCAUUGUAUUCGCGAUUUACGGCUGACAAGCGCUUUCACCAGGCAAGAGUGAAAAGGUUUCAAAAGGACUAUUGGGGACUUCCCUCGCCAUUAAUCUAGACGAAACACCGCCGGCCCUAGGCCGAUUGGCGUCAUCCUGCCUCUGUAAAGCACAUCUUUCCGUGGUGUCGGCUUUGCAUAAGGCGGCAGCAUUGGCUAGUUUGUGAGAGGAGAAUAUAACUAGACUGAGAAGAUAGACUCAGCUGUGAAAGUGGAUUUCUCCCUCCACAACCUAGGACUACUUUCAGUAGCUCUGAAAUACACAUGAGAAUCUUAGCCUUCUAGAUGCCAAAAGAGAAAUAAUCAGUAAGGUGAAAUCAUUAACAAACUA
rnacentral:lncRNA from 1 species